rnacentral:rRNA from 1 species
GACAGAGGGUGCAAGCGUUGCUCGGAAUUACUGGGCGUAAAGCGCGUGUAGGCGGCCCGUCAAGUCCCGUGUGAAAGCCCCCGGCUCAACCGGGGAACGGCGCGGGAAACUAGCAGGCUUGAGUUCGGGAGAGGGAAGCGGAAUUCCGGGUGUAGCGGUGAAAUGCGCAGAUAUCCGGAGGAACACCGGUGGCGAAGGCGGCUUCCUGGACCGACACUGACGCUGAGGCGCGAAAGCUAGGGGAGCAAACGGG